rnacentral:rRNA from 1 species
UACGUAGGGGGCAAGCGUUGUCCGGAAUCAUUGGGCGUAAAGCGUGUGUAGGCGGCUCGGUAAGUCCGCUCUGAAAGUCCAGGGCUCAACCCUGGGAUGCGGGUGGAUACUGCCGGGCUCGAGUCCGGAAGAGGCGAGUGGAAUUCCCGGUGUAGCGGUGAAAUGCGCAGAUAUCGGGAGGAACACCAAUGGCGAAGGCAGCUCGCUGGGACGUGACUGACGCUGAGACGCGAAAGCGUGGGGAGCAAACAGG